rnacentral:lncRNA from 1 species
UUCGAGGGCUGUCCAGAGGAAGAGUCUUGGGCUUAUGGAGACAUGGGUGUCAGGCUGGUGUUCUCAGGAGAAAGGUGCUGUCUGUUCCUUCUCACCGUAGGCUGUACGGUUGAACCAGCGCAGUACUGUAACUCCAUUCAUGGUUGGCACUUGGCAUGAUGGUGACCGAGUAAAAGGAAUAGGAUUCGGUUUCCAUCCUUUUGUGUUUCAAACUGGUUCCAUUGUAUCCUCUGCCAGAAAAUGCUUUUCCAUCUGCCCCCUCGGGGAACUUCUGCGCAUCCUUUAAAACCCAUUCUAAAGGGCUCCCCUUGUGUGCUGUCCUUCACCCAUUAUGAUCAGAUUGCCCCUUCCGAGUUGGGGAACUGAGUUCCUAUAGUGCUUUUGGGGUUACCAUCCCAGGCCAGGGAGCCCCCACUGGUGUUUCACAGGGGUUUGCAGGCACAUCACUGGGAACCCUGGCCUGUGUCUCCAGGUCCAACCGUGACUGUCAGAUUGAUCAGCAUCACCGGAACCAGUGUCAGUACUGUCGCCUCAAGAAGUGCUUCCGGGUGGGCAUGCGCAAGGAGG